rnacentral:rRNA from 2 species
AACGAACGCUGGCGGCAGGCUUAACACAUGCAAGUCGAGCGCCCCGCAAGGGGAGCGGCAGACGGGUGAGUAACGCGUGGGAAUCUACCUUUUGCUACGGAAUAACGCAGGGAAACUUGUGCUAAUACCGUAUGUGUCCUUCGGGAGAAAGAUUUAUCGGCAAGAGAUGAGCCCGCGUUGGAUUAGCUAGUUGGUGGGGUAAAGGCCUACCAAGGCGACGAUCCAUAGCUGGUCUAAGAGGAUGAUCAGCCACAUUGGGACUGAGACACGGCCCAAACUCCUACGGGAGGCAGCAGUGGGGAAUAUUGGACAAUGGGCGCAAGCCUGAUCCAGCCAUGCCGCGUGAGUGAUGAAGGCCCUAGGGUUGUAAAGCUCUUUCACCGGAGAAGAUAAUGACGGUAUCCGGAGAAGAAGCCCCGGCUAACUUCGUGCCAGCCGCCGCGGUAA